GAUCAUGGCUCAGGAUGAACGCCAGCGACAGGCCUAACACAUGCAAGUCGAGGGGCAGCGGAGAGGUAGCAAUACCUUUGCCGGCGACCGGCGCACGGGUGAGUAACAUGUAUGCAAUCCACCUGUAACAGGGGGAUAACCCGGAGAAAUCCGGACUAAUACCCCAUAAUAUGGGCGCUCCGCAUGGAGAGCCCAUUAAAGAGAGCAAUUUUGGUUACAGACGAGCAUGCG
rnacentral:rRNA from 1 species